rnacentral:lncRNA from 1 species
GUAGCCCCCAGGGGUGUUGGUCCCCACAGGCUAGGGCAGACUGCCCCACAGCAGGGUCCCUCCAGGUGACUCCACUAGUAGGCCAGGCAACUGUGCACUCUCUGCUGCUCUCACCUGUGGCCUCUCCAGCAGGGGGAGCAAGGGGAAUGUUAGUUCUACUUUCCUCUGGUCAGAAAUGUUUGCUUGGAAUAUCACUAGGGCUGUGCCCAAGAAAAGAGUGGGAAAGGCCUGUUGUUUAUUUGUGCAAAUUUCUACUUUAAAUGUUGACUCUCAGGAUGUUCCCAGUUUCAGCUCUAUGAUGUGAAUAGCAGUUCUCCAGUGCCCGUGUGGUAAUGUGCAGUAAUGUGACACUUGAGAUCACUCUAUAGGAGAGCCCCAGGUGGGAGACCUGGAGUAUGGCCAUGGCAAUCCACACUGCUGGAUCUCAGGAAACCUCCUAAUCUGCUUUGGGAAGAAGACCCAUGUGACCUGUUAGGGUUGUGGCCUAUGUGAGUCCUUGAUGGAGUGGAGGUAUUGAGUCCAGAGAAGCCUCAGGAAAAAGGAAGACCAUACCAGUAGGAGGAAGCAAAAGUACAGAUUGAGAGCCUGGGCAGGUGCAGAG